GGAGAGAUGGCAGAGCGGCCGAUUGCACCGGUCUUGAAAACCGGAGUGCCCUUACGGGUACCCAGGGUUCGAAUCCCUGUCUCUCCGC
rnacentral:tRNA from 2 species